ACAUGCUUACAACAUAGUGUUAAUGCAUUGGAUCCCAUUAGAACUUCGUAGUUAAGUGAACUCAAGCUAGAGUAGUAUUGGGAUGGGUGAUCGCCCGGGAAGUCCUAGUAUUUUACAUGCC
rnacentral:rRNA from 1 species